rnacentral:lncRNA from 10 species
AUGCGUACUUGCGUCAUCGUUGGGUAGCAGCGGGGAGGCGUGGGAGGAUCUGAGGCCUGCGGUGGGCCUUGGUCCCUUCUCUCCCCGCCCCGAAGCCGCCUGCUCAACCUGAGGGCCACCGGCCUCUAUCCGUCGGUGCCGAUGCUCCUUGCUUCCCAGCCAGAGCGUCUCAUCUCUGGGCCCGGAGCCCCAGGCUCGUUCUCCUCAGCCCCUGCCGGCGGCGGCGCUCUUGCAGCCAUUCCUGUGAGGUCGUUUUUCGGAGCAGCCGGGCCGGCCGAGGAGUAAGUAGGCGCCAGAGUUCUAGCUCGGGCAUCUGCCUCGGGGCCCUGUCGCCGCCGCGCCCCGGAUCCUGCGUUGGUCCUGUCCGAUAAAGCGGAGGUCGGCCCUGCUUGCUGACGAGACCGUAAAAACCACGGCGCUUGGCGCCCUGCCGCCGCCACACCACACCAAAGUGUACCUGCCCGAGGCUGGCUUCGGGCGCGAGCUUGCAUUUGUGACUUUCUCUUACCGUCUUUGUUUGCUUCGUUUUAAGUAUUACUUCCAGAUAAGGGACACAUUCUCGAAAUACUUUGAAAACAGUUUUGAAUUUUGUUCCUCCCGUUGAAACGGAUUAAAUUUGGACCUUUCAAGCUACACUGUGCAAUCAUCAAUCUCAAUAAGCUCUUAAUAGGCUCAUUCUUCCGUAGGCUACAAACAAAAUAAAGAUCAUAACAUCCUGCGGAGGAAGCCAUUGGUCCAUGUAGAGUCGCCAGAUGUCAAUUAAGAGUAGAUCGCUUUUCAGAGAAUACUUAACGACUCUGGUUUAGACCUAGACUUGGAACUUUGAGGUGUUUGGAACACUGGGCAGAAUUUUCCUUUGUUACAAAACAAAGUUUAUGAGAACGUAA